rnacentral:miRNA from 1 species
UCAGGGUACUGAGAUCACAGGC